AGAGUUUGAUCCUGGCUCAGGAUGAACGCUAGCUACAGGCUUAACACAUGCAAGUCGAGGGGCAGCGGGUUGAAAGCUUGCUUUCAAUGCCGGCGACCGGCGCACGGGUGCGUAACGCGUAUCAAACCUGCCUCAUACUCGGGGAUAGCCUUGCGAAAGUAAGAUUAAUACCCGAUGUUGUUGCUUUCUCGCAUGGGAGAGUAACCAAAGAUUUAUCGGUAUGAGAUGGUGAUGCGUCCGAUUAGGUAGUAGGCGGGGUAACGGCCCACCUAGCCUUCGAUCGGUAGGGGUUCUGAGAGGAAGGUCCCCCACACUGGAACUGAGACACGGUCCAGACUCCUACGGGAGGCAGCAGUGAGGAAUAUUGGUCAAUGGACGGAAGUCUGAACCAGCCAAGUAGCGUGCAGGAUGACGGCCCUAUGGGUUGUAAACUGCUUUUGUAUGGGGAUAAAGUUAGGGACGUGUCCCUAUUUGCAGGUACCAUACGAAUAAGGACCGGCUAAUUCCGUGCCAGCAGCCGCGGUAAUACGGAAGGUCCAGGCGUUAUCCGGAUUUAUUGGGUUUAAAGGGAGCGUAGGCGGAUUGUUAAGUCAGCGGUUAAAGGGUGUGGCUCAACCAUACAUUGCCGUUGAAACUGGCGAUCUUGAGUGCAGACAGGGAUGCCGGAAUUCGUGGUGUAGCGGUGAAAUGCUUAGAUAUCACGAAGAACUCCGAUCGCGAAGGCAGGUGUCCGGGCUGCAACUGACGCUGAGGCUCGAAAGUGUGGGUAUCAAACAGGAUUAGAUACCCUGGUAGUCCACACAGUAAACGAUGUAUACUCGCGGUUUGCGAUAGAUUGUAAGCCGCCAAGCGAAAGCAUUAAGUAUACCACCUGGGGAGUACGCCGGCAACGGUGAAACUCAAAGGAAUUGACGGGGGCCCG
rnacentral:rRNA from 1 species